CGAUCAGUAGCCGACCUGAGAGGGUGAUCGGCCACAUUGGAACUGAGACACGGUCCAAACUCCUACGGGAGGCAGCAGUGGGGAAUAUUGCACAAUGGGCGAAAGCCUGAUGCAGCAACGCCGCGUGCGUGAUGAAGGCCUUCGGGUCGUAAAACUCUGUCCUCAAGGAAGAUAAUGACGGUACUUGAGGAGGAAGCCCCGGCUAACUACGUGCCAGCAGCCGCGGUAAUACGUAGGGGGCUAGCGUUAUCCGGAUUUACUGGGCGUAAAGGGUGCGUAGGCGGUCUUUCAAGUCAGGAGUGAAAGGCUACGGCUCAACCGUAGUAAGCUCUUGAAACUGGGAGACUUGAGUGCAGGAGAGGAGAGUGGAAUUC
rnacentral:rRNA from 1 species